UACGGAGGGGGCUAGCGUUAUUCGGAAUUACUGGGCGUAAAGCGCACGUAGGCGGCUAUUCAAGUCAGGGGUGAAAUCCCGGGGCUCAACCCCGGAACUGCCUCUGAAACUAGAUAGCUAGAAUCUUGGAGAGGUCAGUGGAAUUCCGAGUGUAGAGGUGAAAUUCGUAGAUAUUCGGAAGAACACCAGUGGCGAAGGCGACUGACUGGACAAGUAUUGACGCUGAGGUGCGAAAGCGUGGGGAGCAAACAGG
rnacentral:rRNA from 1 species